rnacentral:rRNA from 1 species
AGUAGGCGGGGUAACGGCCCACCUAGUCAACGAUGGAUAGGGGUUCUGAGAGGAAGGUCCCCCACAUUGGAACUGAGACACGGUCCAAACUCCUACGGGAGGCAGCAGUGAGGAAUAUUGGUCAAUGGGCGAUGGCCUGAACCAGCCAAGUAGCGUGAAGGAUGACUGCCCUAUGGGUUGUAAACUUCUUUUAUAAAGGAAUAAAGUCGGGUAUGCAUACCCGUUUGCAUGUACUUUAUGAAUAAGGAUCGGCUAACUCCGUGCCAGCAGCCGCGGUAAUACGGAGGAUCCGAGCGUUAUCCGGAUUUAUUGGGUUUAAAGGGAGCGUAGAUGGAUGUUUAAGUCAGUUGUGAAAGUUUGCGGCUCAACCGUAAAAUUGCAGUUGAUACUGGAUGUCUUGAGUGCAGUUGAGGCAGGCGGACUUCGUGGUGUAGCGGUGAAAAUGCUUAGGAUAUCACGAAGAACUCCGAUUGCGAAGGCAGCCUGCUAAGCUGCAACUGACAUUGAGGCUCGAAAAGUGUGGGUAUCAAACCAGGAAUUAGAUACCCUGGUAGUCCACACGGUAAACGAUGAAUACUCGCUGUUUGCGAUAUACGGCAAGCGGCCAAGCGAAAGCGUUAAGUAUUCCACCUGGGGAGUACGCCGGCAACGGUGAAACUCAAAGGAAUUGACGGGGGCCCGCACAAGCGGAGGAACAUGUGGUUUAAUUCGAUGAUACGCGAGGAACCUUACCCGGGCUUAAAUUGCACUCGAAUGAUCCGGAAACGGUUCAGCUAGCAAUAGCGAGUGUGAAGGUGCUGCAUGGUUGUCGUCAGCUCAUGCCGUGAGGUGUCGGCUUAAGUGCCAUAACGAGCGCAACCCUUGUUGUCAGUUACUAACAGGUGAUGCUGAGGAUUCUGACAAGACUGCCAUCGUAAGAUGUGAGGAAGGUGGGGAUGACGUCAAAUCAGCACGGCCCUUACGUCCGGGGCUACACACGUGUUACAAUGGGGGGGUACAGAGGGCCGCUACCACGCGAGUGGAUGCCAAUCCCUAAAACCCCUCUCAGUUCGGACUGGAGUCUGCAACCCGACUCCACGAAGCUGGAUUCGCUAGUAAUCGCGCAUCAGCCACGGCGCGGUGAAUACGUUCCCGGGACCUUGUACACACCGCCCGUUCAA